UUUAACAGCAUAAAUGUUCAGCGUGUGAAUACAUGGGAUUGUUUGACGCCAAUAUGACACAAUGGCGCAGUGACGCGGCAGGAACAUGGCGGAUCAUAGGACCAAGGGGAUAUAUAUUUAAUAAAGUUUAUGAGGGUGCGCGCAGCAGUCAGUGAGAGACAAGCAGAAAAUGUUUGCAUGACGAAGCAAACAAAGACAGAUUUAUCGAUCCGACCAUCGAGAUGUUUACACAUUAAAUACGUGUUUGCUUUGACGUGUUCCGGGCGAACAAGACGUGAGAAUAUGGAACACAUUUCCCCCGAGCAGGUCUUGGAUCACAUCUAGCGGGUCUACAGCACAUCUACAUGACAUCAGCAGGAAUCUAAGCGGAACAUUUUUAGUGCCUCUUUCACACCGGAAGAGGAGCUUCGGCGCUCAUUUGGCGCAAGUUAAUUGCAGAACAACCAGUGGGUACACUUCAAGUUGGAGCUUUUGGGUGGCUAACUUUGCUCUCCCUGCCAUCUUCCCUGAGCCUACCUCUCUUCCCGCCAUGGCGGUGAGCAGCGAGCCCACUUUAGAGAAGCUGGAGUCCACAUCUGAGGAACAAACCAGUAGUCUCACCGACAUCAUGGCUGCCAUGGCUACAAAAGACCUCAGCAGUUCUCUGAGAAAUGGAGGAGCUCAGCUGGACAAGCCUCAGCCAUCACAGCCUCAGUUGACCGGAAGGAAGUCCUCGCUGCAGGAACGAGGCACUUACCUGUCCUCUGCAGGGGGCUACACACACAUCUCCCCCCGGGUAGCUCAAAGGCCGACAGUGGAGUCUAAACGUGUGUCCAUAUCCGAUUCUCAGAAUUGUGUCCAGUUGAACCAGUAUAAAUUGGAGAGUGAGAUUGGAAAGGGAUCUUAUGGUGUGGUCAAACUCGCCUAUAACGAAGAUGAUGACAAACAUUAUGCCAUGAAAGUUGUUUCAAAGAAGAAGUUAAUGAAGCAGUGUGGUUUUCCACGUCGCCCACCUCCUAGGGGACCCAAGGCAGUCCAAGGAGAGCAGCCGAAGUUCCUCGGACCAUUGGAAAGAGUUUACCAAGAGAUUGCCAUCCUUAAAAAACUGGACCAUGUCAACAUUGUCAAAUUAGUGGAGGUGCUGGAUGAUCCUGCAGAAGACAAUCUUCACAUGGUGUUUGAGUUGAUGCGCAAUGGGCCGGUGAUGGAAGUGCCUACAAACAACCCUUUGUCAGAAGAACAGGCAAGGUUAUAUCUCCGUGACGUCAUCCUUGGUAUAGAGUACUUGCACUACCAGAAGAUUGUUCACAGGGACAUCAAACCUUCUAAUUUGUUGCUCGGGGAUGACGGCCAUGUGAAGAUUGCAGAUUUUGGAGUGAGCAACCAGUUUGAGGGAAGCGAUGCCAUGCUGUCCAGCACAGCUGGUACUCCUGCCUUCAUGGCUCCCGAGACCUUGUCAGACAAGCGCAAGAGCUUCAGUGGGAAGGCGCUGGAUGUUUGGGCCAUGGGAGUCACUCUCUACUGUUUUGUCUUUGGAAAGUGCCCGUUUAUCGAUGAGUACAUAUUGGCUCUGCACAAUGAGAUACGGAGCAGGCCUGUGGAUUUCCCAGAAAUACCAAAAAUAAAUGAAGAGCUGCGGACCUUGAUUUUGAGGAUGCUAGAUAAGAACCCGGACACCCGCAUCACCAUCCCUGAAAUGAAGAUGAACCAAUGGGUCACUAAGGAGGGCACUGAGCCGCUUCCUCUGGAGGACGAGCACUGCAGUGUGGUGGAGGUGACGGAAGAGGACAUCAAGAACUCGGUCAAGUUUGUUCCCAGUCUGUCUGCUGUGAUCUUGGUAAAAGCCAUGCUGAGGAAACGUUCUUUCAGCAACCCGUUUGAGUGUCCAAGCCGGCGAGAGGAGAGGUCCAUGUCUGCACCAGGCAGCCUGCUUAUCAGGCAGCAGGGUAAUACAUGCAGCAGUCCCAAUGUGCAAUAAUCCAACACCUGACAGGUGAACCACAAGGAACUUAAGUAGGCCUAAUUACACACAGGAAACAGGUAGGCUUGAGGGAAACAUAAUACAAAUGAAGUUGCAGCCAACCUUAGAAACUAAGCAAGGAGUACAUCACAAAACACAAGGAAAUAUUAAUAUUAAUAUUUAUAACUCCAAAACUGUCAUGUGGGAUCAUAACAAUUUGUUCGGAUCUUGCAAGGUUCACGGUUACAUUUUGUUGAAAAAAAGUAAACUGGCUGACUCAAUCAAUGGAUUUGGAAGCCAUUGUCAUUGUGAAGCCACUUGUGAUUAAGAGCUAUGUAUUAAGUAAAAUGUUGUUGAUUGAUUGAUUUUAUUUAAAAAAUAACAAUGAUGAAACAAACAGAACAAAAAGGUGAAGGUAAGUGUUGGUUAUACUUUUCUUAUGGUACUGUGUUUGGAAAUUAAAAAUGUAUUAUAUCUAACAGCAAUACUUAAUAUACCUGUAAAUACCUGUAACUCCAGCCUAUAGUUUAGCUUAGAGAAAUUGCAGAAGGACAUACAUUACAGUUUGAUGUGUAAUGUUUUAGCUUGAUUAUAAUUUCAAUUUCAUUUGGAUCCGUUAAUAAAUAUGUUGCAUCAUAUUGUACUUUCUGUUCCGACAACACAGUGAAUGUUGACAUAAUUUAGACAUAGUUGCAAAUGGUGAUUAAUCAUGAUUAAUUGAUUUGCAGAGUGUGAUUAUUCUGAUUAAAAGUGUGACAGCGCUAUAAAAUUCAUCCGCCACAAAAGUACAGUCACCGUGUUUGACUUGUCCGUCUUUUCUUCCACUUGGCUGCAGGGAUUCUUGGCCUCUCAGGCCCUCUUUAAAACGUCACUCCUCACUCAGAAAGAGCAGCACAGGCGAUGAACCCCGAGAAGGCGAGCUGGAGGACGUGCAUGAAGAUGAAGCCUCUUCUUGAACUGAAACAUGCUUCAGCUACUCGCUCCUCACUUUGUGUUCUUCACAGCAAAGAUGCUCCAAAAUCCAAUGCAAUGAUGCUUUUUAUACUCAGUAAGCCACUUCUUUUUUUGUGUGGGAAAAGGAAAUGCUUGAUUUCACACCUUAUAUUGUCUUACAAAUUAUUAUUAUUAUUAUUAUUAUUAUUAUUGAUGUCUUAGCAGUAUUAUUACCUCUAAUCAAUCCAUGUUCUUUUCACCGUCCAAUGGCCGUGUGGGACUGUUUAAGCUAAUUAAGAUAAUGAAGAAAAUUAAGCUACAAGUUUCAUGAAGAUGCACCUAAUAUAAUAUUUAUAAGUAAUAUAAUAGCAUUGACAGUGCCGACAAUCAAUCAAUAUGUGAUUGAUCAAUCAAAAAUUAAGUGAUUGAUUGAAAAAGCAAAUGUUUUUUAAUCGAUUACUGUAUUGAUCAUCUGUUCACUUCCUGCAUUUUCUGCAUAUCCAUACAUACAGAAACUCAUGUUUUCUUGUUUCAUAUAAGAUAAAACAAUGAAAAAGAACUGUGAAUAUAGUCGAUACAUUUGAAUGAUGAAUGAAUGAAAAAUGCAUAACUCAUUAAAUUUAUUAAUAUACACCUUUUUUUAUGUAAAACUUUUAAUAAACCUUGAUAAAGCAGUAGAAAAGAUAGAUGGAUGCAAUUAUGGAUGAUGAAUGGAUGAAUGUGUGGUCCUCCAGGGAAGUUUUUCUUUUGCGGAAUUUAUUUGAACAAACAUAAGGUUUUUUGUUUUUUUCUUAGGUUUAUGUUUUUUUGUUUUUUUUAAUCUGUUAAUAUGAUGAUUAUUACAUUAAUAUUCAAUUGGCUAGUAUCAAAUUGCUUUGCUUCCCUCUAAACGGAGGUCACCGUUUCAGUUGAUCCUAUAGCUCGGUUGAUAGAGCGGCCGUGCCAGCAACUUGAGGGCUCCAGGUUCGAUCCCCGCUUCCACCAUCCUAGUCACUGCUGUUGUGUCCUUGGGCAAGACACUUGCUCCCAGUGCCACCGACACUGGUUUAAAUGUAACUUAGAUAUUGGGUUUCACUAUGUAAAGCGCUUUGAGUCACUAGAGAAAAGCGCUAUAUAAAUAUAAUUCACUUCACUGUCCUUAUUUGUCUAUAUAUAUAUGGUGGAUCGCUUUUGUUGACAUAGCACGUGAGAUCAUAAGACGAGAAAAUUGGUUUGUUUAUGUUGGCAUAAUAUUGUUUACGUCGUCUUGUCACAAGCAGAUUUGUGGAAACAAAGAGCAGCAGGAGAGAAAGUGUCACUCCCUUUAAAGCUUCCAGUACAACCAAAGAUCUUUUCUUCCGCUUUUUGUUCAUAACGGAAUAUUAUUGUUUGAAAAAUAAUUUAUUUUUAUUCUUGUUAAGUUACAUGUACUUUGGUUAUGUUGACAGCUGCUUAUUGUCGAUGUGUGAGUCAGCCAAUCUGAGGUCAACUUAAGCGGCUCCCACUGUACUUGAUAUAAAACACAGUACUUUAGUAAAGUACUUUACUAAAGCACUUGACCUAUAAUAUUUAGACUAUUUCAUAUAUUCCUGAGUCAUCACAUAUUUUUAUCAUAUUGAAUUGUUUCCACAUUUUAUUGAAACUUUAUGAAAAUGUUUUCUUUUAUUAAAGUUUUCACGCAUCAUUUCUGCUGCAUCAGCACUUUUGAGGAGCUGCUAAACAUUGUGAUUGAGCUUCGCCUUAAUGUCCUUUAUGAAAAAUUAUAUUCACAUUAUGUGUUUUGAAGAAAGUGUGCUGCUUCAAGAAACUACUUACUGCAUGCAUCAAGUGAGAAAGGACAAACUUAUUUUCAUGACUUCUUUUAAAACAUGCUGACAAAGCAGAUAUUUAUUACAUGAUAUUCAUAUAACUUUUUGUUCGUCCUGUUUUUUAUGGUUUAUUGCUGUUGCUUGUGUAAAUGAAAAUACUGAAAAUAGAAACUUCAAAGGGCUUUUUCAACUCAUAUUUUGUGUCGUAACUUUGUGUCCUUUCUAACUUGAAAUGUCAUCAACUGAUUUACUUUAAAUAUCACAUUUUACUAUGUACAGUAUUACUACAUUAUACUACAGGCAGUACUAAUACUUUCUUCUACACACAGUACUAUACAUUCCACUGCGUACACAUGCGAGGCAAGGAGUGAACUGUCUGUAAAACACAAUAAAUACUUCCC